CCCUUGGAGUGUUGUAAAAACUUGAGUAGUUUAAAACGAAAGAGAACACGAUGAAUAGGGAA
rnacentral:ncRNA from 1 species